AUUGAACGCUGGCGGCAUGCUUUACACAUGCAAGUCGAACGGCAGCACGAAAGAGCUUGCUCUUUUGGUGGCGAGUGGCGAACGGGUGAGUAAUGCAUCGGAACGUACCGAGUAAUGGGGGAUAACUAUCCGAAAGGAUAGCUAAUACCGCAUACGCUUUGAGAAGGAAAGUGGGGGCUCUUCGGACCUCACGUUAUUCGAGCGGCCGAUGUCUGAUUAGCUAGUUGGUGGGGUAAAGGCCUACCAAGGCGACGAUCAGUAGCGGGUCUGAGAGGAUGAUCCGCCACACUGGGACUGAGACACGGCCCAGACUCCUACGGGAGGCAGCAGUGGGGAAUUUUGGACAAUGGGCGCAAGCCUGAUCCAGCCAUGCCGCGUGUCUGAAAGAAGGCCCUUCGGGGUUGUAAAAGGGACUUUUUGUUAAGGGAAAG
rnacentral:rRNA from 1 species